GGGAGCGUGGCAGAGCGGUUGAAUGCGCCUCUCCUUCCUCAAGGAGAGGCAAUGGCAAAGAUCCCUCCCAUCCAAGCCAUUCGCAGGUUCGAAUCCUGCCGCUCCCU
rnacentral:tRNA from 1 species